rnacentral:lncRNA from 1 species
CACGCACACAUAUUCACAAAUACUCACACAUGCACACAAGCACGCAUGCGCACACACGCUCUCACGCAUCCUGCUGCCCUGCCUAGAGUCAGGGCCUCUGUUCUAGAGGCUCCAAAUGCUCUAGCUAGAGGCCCUGCCUCCUGCCUUACUUGGGAGGUUCUAGAGGCUCUGCAGGCCGGCGUACUUGCGCAGUCGCUCCGCGGUGAGGAACAUGAUGACGGUGUGCGGCCCCAGGCGUGCGUACGAAGCGGACCAGCCCUGGGGUUGCCGAGCAGGAGGGGGUGGGGUGGGAGGGGGUACGGAGCGGUCACAAGCAGGAGGGGCCCGCGGUGGGGAGGGGGGAAACAGGAUGGCAGCCUGUCCGGCGGAUCUGUGGAUGGGGCCGCAUGCCUCCGCCGGACCACCAAACCGCUAGGCCGGCGUGUUGGUGCCUCCCCGCCUGUGCUCGGCUACUUUGGCUAGGUUUGGUUCACGUUGGGCUGGUGUUUACAAAAACCCCAGUACCCACGCAGAACCUGCCCCAUGCUACCCAUGCCACAGGGUCCGCGCCGCUUUCACACCUACUGAGGACGGUCGGCACACAAUGCACGUGCACACACGCACACGCGCGCACACACGCACACACACUUUCUCACACACUUUCUCACACACACACACACACACACACACACACACACACGCACACACACACACAUACACACACACACACGCACACACUUUCACACGCACACGCACGCACUUUUACACGUACACACUUUCACACGCACACACACUUUCACACACACCUUCAUAAACCCGAUCAGGCCGUCGCUCUUGAGCACGUGCGCGGCGCAGGCCAUGGGCCCGCUGUACGACUUGCCGCCUGUGAGAGAAUUGGUUGGUUGGUUGCUUAGGGCGGUUGGUUGAUUGGUUGGUUGGGGUGCGGAACUACUGUUACCGUGUGGGCAAAGCCCACCCGUCCUGUCCCCGAGCUCCGCUCCCCUGCCCCGGCGGCCACCACAAUGCUGCCAAAACCUACCGCGCCCAUGCCCCCCCCCCACUAAGCAUGUAUGUGCCCAUCCACCAGGAAACCUCAAGCAAAGCAGCUCGCUCGCUCGCGGCAAGCACUCCCCACUUCCCGCACAACACACGUGCCGGGCCCAGCUCCUCAUCAGUGCGCACAUGCACCCAACACACCGAGUGGCCGUUACACUCACCCACAAACAUGCGCGUCUUGAUCACGUCAAUGGGGUUGGUGAUGGUGGUGGUGACCAGGCCGGCAAUCAUGCUGCUGGUCAGGUGCAGCUCCACGCCGUCCGUCCAGCCCGUGGUGGCGGUCACGGUGCGCUUGACCUGCGCGCGCGUGUGGUUUUGGUUGUGUGCGUGCUUCUUUGGGGGGGUUGAGAUUUUAGUUCAUCCCAAUCCCAAAGUCAACGGGAGUGGACGCGUGGGAGGUUUAUGUGCGUGGUAGCGGUAUGCGAGGUCGCGUGUGUGUUUGCGUGUAAAGAACUGCGCGCGCAAGCGUGCGUGACUCGCGUGCGGAGGUCACAACGCGAGCAGUGACACGUACCCUGACACGUACCCUGAUGACACGUACCCUGACACGUCCUCCCCACUCCCCAGCCCCCCACCCCCCGCCGCCACCCGCGCCCACCUCGUCGUACGUGGCGCACUGCGCCGCCGUCAGGAUGGCCGAGCGGAUCUGUUUGUGGGAAGGCAAGAGAAGGUGGAGGAGGUGGGUGAGGGGAGGUAGGGGCAAGGAGGAAGCGGCGGGUGCAUGCCGUUGUCAGGACAGGUGGGCUGCGUGUGUCGCGGAAGCCACACACACGUGCGGCAACCCCAGAACCCCCCCACCUCCCUUGGAUCGUGCUUGCCCGCCCCUUUCCUAAAAGCGAGCCCCCGCAUCUGGACCGCCCGCACAACCAGCCCCUCCGCCGACACUGCAACAGGCACAGCCACACACACUCCCGCACACAAACAUUACUCUUAGCUCGGCCCUUGUGCUCUUCCCAACACGCACUCUCCCCCAACCACACACAGCCAUAAGCCCGCAGCCACGCACGCGCGCCCUCACCAGUCCGGGCAUGGCUCCCUUCCACAGCCCCGCCACGCCGUCCGCCGCCACGACGGCUCGGAUGACGCCCACCGAGGUCUUGGGCACGGUGGGGUCGCGGCCCGCCGCCUGCAGCCGCGUCUGCGUGGGACAGGGGAACGGGGAGCGCGUGGGCGGUUGCGGUACGGGGGCCGGGGCUGCUGCGUAUGUGCGUGCGGCGUGUGAGUGCGUGCACGUUUCGGGUCCGGGUAGUCCGGGCACGAAGCCGCGAGGCCGUGUUGGUGUUGGGGGUGUGGAGGCACGCGACAGGUGCCGCCAGCGACAAGCAACAUGCAUAGCGUCGUUGUGCUGCAUCGAAGCCCAUCUUCCCUUCGUUGCUCCUCCUCUCCUUUUCCUUUUCCUGAAUCUUGGAAAGACGAUGUAGGCCGUUUGCUCACCUUGAUCAGCUCAAUGGGCGAGGUGACCGCCGCCGCCAAGCCGCCAGACAGCGAACCAGACAGCACCUGUUUCGGCAAGUGUGGGUGGGUGGGUGCGAAGUUGGUGGCGGGUGCAGUAACUGAGUGCGCUCCUUCCAACGUACCAACACACACGCAACACACACGCUCUUUCCCUUCGUGCUUUCCUAGCACACCAACAGAUAUGCACACAAUCAAGCACGCAGCGCCCGCACCUUCAUCUCCAGGCUGGGUUUUGAGUUCUCGCCGCAGAUGACCGUCUUGAUGGGCGUGUAGAGGCCCAGGCGAGCGCCUGUGUGUGCAUCGUGUGGCAGGUCGCGCGAGCACCAGACUGUCAAUAAUGAUCAGGUGAAAAGCAGGUUGCAAACGUCGGUGCGCCACGCACACCCCUUGAGCUGUUUCUCAUGGCAGAAGAGGGGAGGCGGGUGCGUGACAGGGCGCACCCGUGACCCGACCGACCCGACCAACAUGGAAUAAACGAUUUGCUAGCGAACGGAACGAAGCAAUGUUACGCGCAAGGCAGCGGCGGCGGCGCACGCGCCCAUGGCCCACACAGACGGCUCUCGCGCGACUCGCGACUCGCUCGCUCACCUCCAAAGAAAAAGCCUCGCGCCAGGGACGGCCCCAGGCCGCUCCACAGGGCCCCGACGCCCUCGGUGCGGACCACGUUGAUGCCCGUGGCGAUCUGCGGAGGUGGAGGCGGAGGUGAGGGAGGCGGAGGUGAGGGAAACACGGGACGCAAGAGGGGGUGGGGUGGGCUGGGUCAAGUGUUGGGGUGGGGGGCGUUUUGCGGUUCCAGGGGAAAGAGAAUGGGGAGCGGAUGGCAGGUGGUGUCACGGCGGGCUCGCAGGGGCACCGGCGCACCGCGCACCCUCCCGGCGUUUUGGAUGCCACUGACGAAUCCCUGACUCGGUACUGGACAUGCGCAAACCUCAAACACACGUUGCGCAGCCAAAACCGCUGAGCGUCGCGCAUGCGCACAAAAUUGCGCUGCCCUUUCGGAGGCAUACGUACAUAGUUUGUGCUAACCACGCAACUUUUGAUGCAGCGGCAAGCCGGCAACUCACCAUGCCUGGUGGCUUGACUCCAGCCGCCAGCUGGUUGCGAGCAAGCUGCAGCCGCACCUUGAUCACAUCUGGGGAGGAGGAAGAAGAAAGGCACACGAUGGGGAGUACGGUAAGGGGAUUACAUUCAUGAUUAGUUAAGGACGGUAAGGGGAUGGGAAAGGGGAGGGGAGGGAAGGGGAGGAGAACUAGGGGUGGGGGAGGGUGGGUGUAUGGGAGGGGUGUGGCACCACCCUGCUAAGAGCGAGGGAGAGGGAAGAUUGAAUGGCUUACCGAGCGGGUUGGUGACGGUGUUGGCCGUCCCGACGCUGAUGCCACUCGUGUAGAGCUCGGUGAUGACGCUCUUGGGGAUGAAAAAGACGGCCGCGGCGCCGCCGGCCCCCGAGGCCUUUUCAGAGGUGGCCGCGGUCGGCAGCUCGAUUGCCUGUUGCGAGGUAGGUUGGGUAAAUGUAGGGGAGCAGACAGGGGGAGCGGGCAGCGGGUGAGGAGACGGCGUGGGACGCGCGAGAGGGAGGGGCGGGGCAGAGGAAAGCGGUAGGUGUGGCAGGUGCGGCUGCUGAGGUGCGCCAACUGCGAGCGCUAGCGGGGAUCUGGGAGCAGCUGGAGUGUGUGCUUCGCGUAGGUUCUCGCGUAGGCUCUGACGUUGGCCUUCGUCGUGGCGGUUGCACCGUCGCGUGUCGCGCCAUCGCUCAAAAGUGCCAGCUCGCCGCUGAGUAGUUUCAAGUGCAUUGGACUGCAAGUGGUCUGCAUAUGCACCAAUCUUACCUUCGUGGCCAUGGAUAGCGAGCUAGUGCGAGACAGCAAAGCACCGCAACUCGUUAGCGACGCCUGUCCUUGUCAGCCGGGCAGAGACACCGGCAGUCCGCCAAAUGCGAGCUCGCAAAGCAGCGAGAUAGAACUCCAAGCAGGGAGUAGCCCAGAGAGAAUUCGCCGAGCCCGCUUGAGGUGCGUUCAAGCCGCGAGGAGCACAGCGCGCGGGG